UGCGCAGGGGAGAUGACACUGU
rnacentral:miRNA from 1 species